rnacentral:rRNA from 1 species
CCUACGGGAGGCAGCAGUGGGGAAUAUUGGGCAAUGGAGGCAACUCUGACCCAGCAACGCCGCGUGAAUGAUGAAGGUCUUCGGAUUGUAAAGUUCUGUGAUGGGGGAUGAACACAAUGACGGUACCCCAAUAGCAAGCCACGGCUAACUACGUGCCAGCAGCCGCGGUAAUACGUAGGUGGCAAGCGUUAUCCGGAAUGACUGGGCGUAAAGGGUGCGUAGGUGGUUUAGUAAGUUGGCGGUGUAAUUCCGGGGCUCAACCUCGGCGCUACCGCCAAAACUAUUAGACUAGAGGGCAGGAGGGGAAAGUGGAAUGACUGGGGUAGGGGUGGAAGGCGGAGAUAUAAGGAGGAACAACAGGGGCGAAGGCGAGUGAAUGGGCUGUAACUAA